GGAAGUGAACAAGAUUUUUGCAGAGAUUUUCCCUGGUCAAGAGUGCAACAUGAACCGUGGAUAUGAACUUUACUGUCAGAUGUACAUUGAUUGAAAAGUGAACAAGAUAUCUGCACUGAGUGAUCAUGUGUGAAACCAAUGAUGAAACUUAAUGCUAUAACAGCUGAACCAGUCUGGCUGAUUACUAAAAUUGCUGUGGUGGUCUUACAAUGAAUAUCCACGAAAAAGACCAGAAAUUACUAUUUUAAACUUGGGAGAAAUUUUUCUGAUUUCCAUGUGAUUUAUAUUCAUCUGACACAUACAUCUGAGAUUCCUUCAAAAGAAAAGAUUGAUCGCAGUUCAUGCUCGAGAUUGAGCUCGAAAUAUUUAGUUGAAAUUUGCGGGUAAUAAAAAAAAUUAGUGAAAAACGAGAUUGUGCCUGAAAACUAUCAUAAAUAUCGUAUAAUUAGGAAGUUAGGCGGGAAAUCAGCUUGAGAAAGAAUGCCUAAGGUCGUUUUAUCAAAACUUUCAUACUCAAAUUAAAUAUACUUGAUGAAGAAAAGAAAAGUGAUAUUUUGGUUCGAAAUGAAGGUAUGCAUUACAUGUAACGUUGUUUUGAGCGUAUCGCUGCGUCUAUAUUGCUUUUUUUGUUGGUUUAAAGGGCUAUUGCAUUUAAUAUUCGCAC